rnacentral:lncRNA from 1 species
CGUGGGUUUUAGAAAAAAAAAAUUCAAAGCAAGUACGGAUCGAAUAUGGAUAAUAAUAUGCCCCAUCCCAAAUUCAACCCGAUAUAUAUAUAUAUAUACACACACACAUCCAAAUAUCCAACAAAAAAUCCUAGCCGUCCAAGCUUCCCGUAUUCAACCACUCCUCCUCCCCUAGGCUUCCAUAUUCGGCCACUCCAAGUCUCCCACCCAAUUGGGAUUUUUGAGAAUGAAAAAAAUAGAGAAAAAAUUAGGAGAAAAUAAAAAAAAAUAAAAAUAAAUAAACAUAAAACGGA